rnacentral:rRNA from 1 species
UACGUAGGGGGCAAGCGUUGUCCGGAUUCAUUGGGCGUAAAGCGCGGGCAGGCGGCCCGCUCAGUCGGCCGUGAAAGCGCCGGGCUCAACUCGGCGAGGUCGGGCGAUACUGGCGGGCUCGAGGCUGGUAGAGGGCGGUGGAAUUCCGGGUGUAGUGGUGGAAUGCGUAGAGCUCCGGAGGAACACCAGUGGCGAAGGCGGCCGCCUGGGCCAGUCCCUGGCGCUG